rnacentral:rRNA from 1 species
GGAAAAGAAACCAACAGGGAUUGCCCCAGUAACGGCGAGUGAAGCGGCAACAGCUCAAAUUUGAAAUCUGGCCCCAGGCCCGAGUUGUAAUUUGCAGAGGAUGCUUUUGGCGCGGUGCCUUCCGAGUUCCCUGGAACGGGACGCCAUAGAGGGUGAGAGCCCCGUACGGUUGGACACCAAGCCUUUGUAAAGCUCCUUCGACGAGUCGAGUAGUUUGGGAAUGCUGCUCUAAAUGGGAGGUACAUUUCUUCUAAAGCUAAAUAUUGGCCAGAGACCGAUAGCGCACAAGUAGAGUGAUCGAAAGAUGAAAAGCACUUUGAAAAGAGGGUUAAACAGCACGUGAAAUUGUUAAAAGGGAAGCGCUUGUGACCAGACUUGCGUCCGGUGAAUCACCCAGCUCUCGCGGCUGGGGCACUUCGCCGGCACAGGCCAGCAUCAGCUUGCCGUCGGGGACAAAAGCUUCAGGAACGUAGCUCCUCUCGGGGAGUGUUAUAGCCUGUUGUAUAAUACCCUUCGGCGGGCUGAGGUACGCGCUCCGCAAGGAUGCUGGCGUAAUGGUCAUCAGCGACCCGUCUUGAAACACGGACCAAGGAGUCAACCUUAUGUGCGAGUGUUUGGGUGUUAAACCCCUACGCGUAAUGAAAGUGAACGCAGGUGAGAGCUUCGGCGCAUCAUCGACCGAUCCUGAUGUUCUCGGAUGGAUUUGAGUAAGAGCAUAUAGGGUUGGACCCGAAAGAAGGUGAACUAUGCGUGUGUAGGGUGAAGCCAGAGGAAACUCUGGUGGAGGCUCGCAGCGGUUCUGACGUGCAAAUCGAUCGUCAAACAUGCGCAUGGGGGCGAAAGACUAAUCGAACCUUCUAGUAGCUGGU